rnacentral:rRNA from 1 species
AUGGCUCAGAUUGAACGCUGGCGGCAGGCUUAACACAUGCAAGUCGAACGGUAGCGGGAGGAAAGCUUGCUUUCUUUGCCGACGAGUGGCGGACGGGUGAGUAAUGCUUGGGGAUCUGGCUUAUGGAGGGGGAUAACGACGGGAAACUGUCGCUAAUACCGCGUAAUAUCUUCGGAUUAAAGGGU